UACGUAGGUGGCAAGCGUUGUCCGGAUUUACUGGGCGUAAAGCGAACGCAGGCGGACUGUUAAGUAGGAAGUGAAAGGUCGGAGCUCAACUCCAACAUUGCUUCCUAUACUGGCAGUCUUGAGUAGCGGAGAGGAAGGGGGAACGACACGUGUAGCGGUGAAAUGCGUUGAUAUGUGUCGGAACACCCAUGGACGAAAGCA
rnacentral:rRNA from 1 species